AUGUUGUCCCAGGCAGCGCGCAGCAUGAGCCGGACGCUGGUGCCGGCGCUGGGGUCGCUGGCUUCCAGACUGAAGCACAGCCUCCCCGCCUUGCCGUACCAUUAUGGCGCCCUGGAGCCUCACAUCAACGCCCAGAUCAUGCAGCUGCACCACAGCAAGCACCACGCGACCUACAUGAACAACCUGAAUGCCAUCGAGGAGAAGUAUCUAGAGGCGCUGGAGAAGGGUGACAUUACAACUCAGGUAGCUCUUCAGCCUGGGCUCAAGUUCAAUGGCGGAGGCCAUAUAAAUCAUUCCAUCUUCUGAACAAACCUGAGCCCUAAGGGUGGUGGAGAACCCAAAGGGGAAUUGCUGGAAGCCAUCAAACGUGAUUUUGGUUCCUUCGACAAAUUUAAGGAGAAGAGUUGACUGCUGUAUCCGUUGGCGUCCCAGGCUCAGGUUGGGGUUGUCUUGGUUUCAAUAAAGAACAGGGACGCUUGCAGAUUGCUGCUUGUUUUAACCAGGAUCCCCUGCAAGGAACAACAGGUCUUAUUCCACAACUGGGAAUCAAUGUGUGGGAGCAUGCUUAUUACCUUCAAUAUAUAAAUGUCAGACUGGAUUACCUAAAAGCUAUUUGGAAUGUUAUCAACUGGGAGAAUGUAAGGGAGAGAUACAUGGCUUGCAAAAAGUAAAACGUGAUCAUUACAUUGAGCAAAAUUAGCUUUUCACGACUAUUUUUGUAGUAGUGCAGAGUGCCGUAGUCUACCAGUAAGCUGCUCUAUUGUAGCAUUGCUAGCUUGUUCAAGCAUUUGAUGAACAUGACUUAAUGCUAUGAAUUUCUUAUUUUCAAAUUUUGUUAUUGGGCAACUGAAAAUAGUAAGUGCUUUGUAUGAUUUAGUCUUUUGAUAGAACAUCAUCUUCCGAGAGCUGAAACAGCCAGCAGGUUAUAAUUGCCAUCAUAAAACCAUCGAAAAGAUCUCAUCCCUGUCCUCUUAGGGCCUCUGGGGAAGCCUUUUGCCCCUUAUUGCACUUGUAGAAAACCUGGUCCUUUGCCCAGUUGUUUAAUGAUAAAAGAUUAAAUUUGUUUCCCAAGG